CAGUCGCCGCGGUAAUACGUAGGGUGCAAGCGUUAAUCGGAAUUACUGGGCGUAAAGCGUGCGCAGGCGGUUAUAUAAGACAGAUGUGAAAUCCCCGGGCUCAACCUGGGAACUGCAUUUGUGACUGUAUAGCUAGAGUACGGCAGAGGGGGAUGGAAUUCCGCGUGUAGCAGUGAAAUGCGUAGAGAUGUGGAGGAAUACCGAUGGCGAAGGCAGCCCCCUGGGCCAAUACUGACGCUCAUGCACGAAAGCGUGGGGAGCAAACAGGAUUAGAUACCCCAGUAGUCCCUGUCUCUUAUAC
rnacentral:rRNA from 1 species